GUGAACGCUGGCGGUAGGCCUAACACAUGCAAGUCGAACGGCAGCACAGUAAGAGCUUGCUCUUACGGGUGGCGAGUGGCGGACGGGUGAGGAAUACAUCGGAAUCUACUUUUUCGUGGGGGAUAACGUAGGGAAACUUACGCGAAUACCGCAUACGACCUAAGGGUGAAAGCAGGGGAUCUUCGGACCUUGCGCGAUUGAAUGAGCCGAUGUCGGAUUAGCUAGUUGGCGGGGUAAAGGCCCACCAAGGCGACGAUCCGUAGCUGGUCUGAGAGGAUGAUCAGCCACACUGGAACUGAGACACGGUCCAGACUCCUACGGGAGGCAGCAGUGGGGAAUAUUGGACAAUGGGCGCAAGCCUGAUCCAGCCAUACCGCGUGAGUGAAGAAGGCCUUCGGGUUGUAAAGCCCUUUUGUUGGGAAAGAAAAGCAGCAGGUUAAUACCCCGCUGUUCUGACGGUACCCAAAGAAUAAGCACCGGCUAACUUCGUG
rnacentral:rRNA from 1 species